rnacentral:rRNA from 1 species
UGGGGAAUAUUGGACAGUGGGGGAAACCCUGAUCCAGCAAUGCCGCGUGAGUGAAGAAGGCCUUAGGGUUGUAAAGCUCUUUCGCCCGCGAAGAUAAUGACGGUAGCGGGAGAAGAAGCCCCGGCUAACUCCGUGCCAGCAGCCGCGGUAAUACGGAGGGGGCUAGCGUUGUUCGGAAUUACUGGGCGUAAAGCGUACGUAGGCGGAUGCGCAAGUUGGGGGUGAAAUCCCGGGGCUUAACCUCGGAAUUGCCCUCAAAACUGCACGUCUUAAGACCGAGAGAUGUAAGGGGAAUUCCUAGGGUAGAGGUCAAAUUCGUAGAUAUUAGGAAGAGCACCAGUGGCGAAGGCGCCUUACUGGCUCGGUACU